rnacentral:lncRNA from 1 species
UCCUCAUCUGCAAGGGCCAGGAGCGCUUCCGCGUGAACAGUUUGGUCCGUACGAAACCGUAUCUGGUCGCGCAGGUGACGUGGCUCGAGGACCGGCCAUCUCCCUCCACCGACCUUGAUCUGGACGGUCUCGCCACCGAGGUGGAGACCUACAUGAGGGACGUUAUCCGGUUAUCCAACCGGUUGGGAGGGAAACCGGAGAAGGAGGUUGGGGAUUUGAGAAGAAACCUGUUUCCAACGCCGUUCUCGUUCUUCGUUGGGAGCACCUUCGAGGGCGCGCCAAGGGAGCAACAAGCCCUGCUUGAAUUGGAGGACACCGCGGCCAGAUUGACGAGGGAGAAGGAAACAUUGAAGAACACUCUCAAUUACCUCACUGC